rnacentral:rRNA from 1 species
AGAUUAAGUUAUUAAGGGCGCACGGUGGAUGCCUUGGCACUAGAAGCCGAUGAAGGACGUUACUAACGACGAUAUGCUUUGGGGAGCUGUAAGUAAGCUUUGAUCCAGAGAUUUCCGAAUGGGGAAACCCAGCACGAGUUAUGUCGUGUUAUCUGCAUGUGAAUACAUAGCAUGCAAGAAGGCAGACCCGGAGAACUGAAACAUCUUAGUACCCGGAGGAAGAGAAAGAAAAAUCGAUUCCCUGAGUAGCGGCGAGCGAAACGGGAAGAGCCCAAACCAAUAAGCUUGCUUAUUGGGGUUGUAGGACACUCUGUACGGAGUUACAAAAGAAUUUGUUAGACGAAUAACCUGGAAAGGUUAAUCAUAGAAGGUAAUAAUCCUGUAGUCGAAAACGAAUUCUCUCUUGAGUGGAUCCUGAGUACGACGGAGCACGUGAAAUUCCGUCGGAAUCUGGGAGGACCAUCUCCUAAGGCUAAAUACUCUCUAGUGACCGAUAGUGAACCAGUACCGUGAGGGAAAGGUGAAAAGUACCCCGGAAGGGGAGUGAAAGAGAACUUGAAACCGUGUGCUUACAAGUAGUCAGAGCCCGUUAAUGGGUGAUGGCGUGCCUUUUGUAGAAUGAACCGGCGAGUUACGAUCUGAUGCAAGGUUAAGC